UACGUAGGGUGCGAGCGUUAAUCGGAAUUACUGGGCGUAAAGCGCACGUAGGCGGGUUUGUAAGUAGAGGGUGAAAUCCCAGGGCUCAACCCUGGAACUGCCUUCUAGACUGCAAGCCUGGAGGUCAGGAGAGGCGAGUGGAAUACCGAGUGUAGAGGUGAAAUUCGUAGAUAUUCGGUGGAACACCAGUGGCGAAGGCGACUCGCUGGACUGAUACUGACGCUGAGGUGCGAAAGCGUGGGGAGCAAACAGG
rnacentral:rRNA from 1 species